rnacentral:lncRNA from 1 species
CUGUGUGGUUGGUGGUGAAUAGGCUUCUUUUUACAUGGUGCUGCCAGCCCAGCUAAUUAAUGGUGCACGUGGACUUUUAGCAAGCGGGCUCACUGGAAGAGACUGAACCUGGCAUGGAAUUCCUGAAGAUGUUUGGGGUUUUUUUCUUUCUUAAUCGAAAGUUAACAUUGUCUGAAAAGUUUUGUUAGAACUACUGCGGAACCUCAAAAUCAGUAGAUUUGGAAGUGAUUCAAAGCUAAACUUUUUCCUUGGCCCUCCUUGUGUUCUAAUUGCUUGCAAGUGUAAUACUAGGAUGUCCAAGAUGCCAGUUUUUGCUUCUUUGUUAGUUGUCAGCUGCUUUUAUCAAAUUUCAGGCCAUUAUCCAACAAACACUAUAAAAAUGUUUGAACAAUUGGAUUUCAAACAUUUUCGUUUUGUGGAGUGGUGCUCACCAAGUGGUACAGCCCUAAGCAAGUGAACACAAACACAUUUAAGUGUAUUUUGUCUGAUUAGAUGUUAGCCAGUUAUGCUAUUUCAUUCAAAUGUCUGAAAAAAUCAAUUGACUAUUCCCUUUUCCUAAAGGGCAGAGACAGAUAAUCUCACUUCCAGAGAAAUGACUUGGAGAAAAAAAAGUGUUGGUCUUUUUGCUCUUUUGUAAUUAAAUCCGGAUGUACCUCAAAAGACUUAAGACUGUGGUGAUAAGAUGCUUUCCUCAGCAGAAAGGAGGGAAAAAAAACAACUGGAACUCAAAGCUUGAAAUUCUGUGGCAAAACAUGAGAUGUCCAGGAUUGGAGGUUGAAAAGAUUUCACUACAGUGUUCUGCAAUAGUUGGAGCAGAUAACUUUCAGUGUAGCCACAGCCAUGGACUCCAGAUUUCCAGAUUUUCAAGACCUGGACCUGGAACCCGAAAGAGCUUGUCACGAUGCGGCAGGAACACUGGAGGUAGAUUUUUUUUUAUUUUUGAAUUUUGGGACUGUUGACCUUGCUGUGAGAAAAGAGACAACGACUGAGCAAGCACUACCACCAGCACUGUUACUGGGAAUUAGAAGACCUGAGUUUCUGUCCAGACCCUCAGUGCAAACUGAGGAUGCUCCAUCCAAACCUACAGACCUGGUACCUGGAUUUUUGCCCGAGAUGAUUCCUACCACCUUACUACUGACGAAGACACCCAUUCCAGUGGACCACUGUGACCCAGGAGGCAUUCAGCCAUCAUGAUGUGGCCUUUACCUCCACUCCUGUCUUGUUCUACCCAGAUUCAGCACAGCCCUUUAUAGUGAAGUCAGAGUCCUCAAGCCAAAUAGCUAAAGCUGUUUUAUCACAACAAAGGCCUAGUUUGUUCCAUGAGUGUGCAUUUCAUUUCUUCAGUUAAAGCCUUCAGAGACACACAAUAAAUUUGGACCAGGGGAUUUUUUAGUUAUUAAUGCUCUCUGAAGAAAGGCAACAUCUUUUUGAGAGCAGCAUUGGACCACACCCCACAAUCUCAAAUGAUUGAAAUUCAUGAACAUCUAGGAUCCCGUGAAGGUCACUGGACCCUGUUUUUUCUACUUCAAAUCCUGUAGUAGCCUACUGAAUGAGAAAACAUAUUCUGACCCAUUGGGAUCAAAUCAAAGGCACAGUGAACUCCUCAUAGCAUCUUCUUUGGAAUUACUCAGGAACCAGAACUUUUUACACAAAUGUAAGAAAUUCUACCAAGGAGUCCCCUUACCUAACAGCAUCUCACAAGGCUGCACCAGAUUCCAGAAAAGGCUUCUCUUGAUACAUCAAGGUAGAACCUCUAUGCAUUUUGUGACCGACUUAUUCUUAGAUCAUUGGUUUUCCAAAGGCUUUGUGGCCAUGAAGCCCUUUGAGUGAAAACUGUGCAGAAGCCCAGAGUAAAAGUGAAGCUGCUCUGGAUGAAGUAGUGAAGCAAGAGUAGGGGCCUGAAUCCUGCUACAACUAUCUUCCUUUACCACCGUGGUGACACCUAAGGGGACUUCCUUACAACACCUUGAACUCUUCCGAACACAGUUUGAAAACCACUGCCCCAGACAGCAAUAUGUUUGACCUGAAUGGCAUUCCAAUCUUUUCUGUACCUCCACUCAGCACAGUUCAUGUUCAGUAGAUGCUGAACAUUCUUAGAAAUACUGUGUGUGAACUUAGAAAAGUGCAAGAAGACAGGCAUGUCUUUGACCCCAGGAAUGAUCAUUUGCUGAAGAUGGUGUCAAGUGAACCUAGAUUAACAGCCCUCCACUCCAGAUGGAUAUCCAGUGAUUCCUAGAAUGGGAUAUAGCCAGAGAACAAUUCUAUGCACCCUACACUGACAGACUCCCUUAAGCAACACCAGAUGCUCUACUGGUACUUGAAGUACAUGACUUUGAAGUCUUGACCCUCCAUGAAUACCUGAAUUAUCAGCAAGCGGGUUUUGAAGCUGGUGCCUCAUUGAGGCCAUAUUAGAGCAACUUGUACAUUUGACCUCUUGUUAUCAGCCAUGGUACUCUACUUCGUGUGCAAGAGAUAACUAUGAAAGCCAAAUUCAAAUACUGGCAACAUUUCCUAAAGGGGCUCAAUAUCUAUCAUUCGUCUUCUUUUCCAAACUACACAUCACUGUAUGACUCAACCAGUAGCAGUUAUAUUGCCCCUUGGUUUUUAUUCAGUUUAACUACUGUUUCCAAGAUAAAUGAGCUAAUAAGCUUUAAAAAAAAAAAAAAAAAAGGCUGAAUUCUUUUUUCUUCAUCACUGGCAUAUCUGCCUAUUCUCCAGAAUUAUUAUGACUAUUCAGCUCACUUUAACAGUUGAACUUCAAGCGACAAUCUUUGAACACCCCUUCUCAUGUGAUUUAAAAUGAAACCAUUUGGAAAAGUUUCUUCUAGCCAGUAAUAGAUUUUUUUUUUAAUUGCUCUGCCUUGUGCCGAGAGAUGUUCUUUUAAGAUGAAUCUUUUGAUGUCUGAUACCACCAAAUAUAGGUGGUAGGGAGAGUUGGAGGCUGGCCCUUUGAGCAGGCCAUUAGCUUACUUGCUGGGCAUUUCCGAUAGCUUAUUGCCUACCUUUUUGCUGGAAACAAACUGAUUUGAAAAACAAAAUCUAUGAAGACUGCAGCUAAGGAUUUUAUCGGUAGACUUAAGAGCUUUUGUCCUUGUGGAUAUUUUAGUGGAACCACAUCAGUCUCAAUACUGUCAUUUUACACUGACUCAGAGCAGCUGACUUCAUUCCUUGCCAUGAUAUAUAUUUAAGGCAGGCAUUGUAACAGACAUAAAGACAACUUAUCUGUUUCAGCAGGAAGGAUUCAGUUUAUGAACUCUCAGACCAGAUCAUGUUGAACAAGGAGACUUUGAUGUGUGUCAUGAGAAAACUCAUUCUUUACUUCCCAGUCAAUUUAAAGGCCAGCUAUCCUGAGCUACUCGAAUGAAUGCACUGGUUAAACAUUGGAAAUAGUUUGUUUAUAUCCUUGUCUCUCUCUAGGCCAAUUGUGAUUACAUGACUCGACUCUACAUCUCGUCAAACAAGGCCUAGGUCUGGUUGCUGUAGACUGCUCGCCCUCAACAAAUAAAAUCUGGUUGACUAGCCUCCUUGUAUAUACAACUAUUAUUUGUUAAGAAGAAAUUAUCGUCAAUUUUCUACUACCUUCCAAUUGUCAGCUCUUUUUUUCCUCUCUGGUUUUUCCUAUACUUUACAGAAAAAGACAUUGAUCUAUACUGCCAUUCCCUCUAAUCCUGCCAUACUCAGUCAAAAGGAAUGACUUAAGAUGAAGAUGAUCAUCUGCUCGAGUCUAAAAUAUACAUUGUAUAUAAGAAUUGGUGAUUAGAAAAGCAAAAAACCUAAAACUUAAAUCUAGGAGUCUGUAUACUGUCUCCAUGUCUCCAUGCCUCAGAUCUCAUCUAAAUCUUUGAACAGCACCAUUCAACCAAUCUGAGGCCUUGACUUGCUUGUAAGAUGAUUCUCAGAGAUCGGCUGAGUUAAAAAAGAUGACGACUUGAUUACCAAAGAAAGUAGGGCCAACUUUGACAAAUCUGGCUCUGCUGACCCUGUCACUCCCAGAUGUAGCAUAGACUCCUAAACAGAACCUCAAGUCUGAUUGAGGAUAAGGCCUUCUCCUGAGCUGAAAGUUCUUUGGCAGAUGAGCAAGAAACUGAAAGCUGAUGUACCUGACUGGCUCUGUAAGAUCAGAAAACUGUAUCCAGAAUAAGCCCUAUGGAUUAACCCCUGAGUACCCAGAGUAAAAACUAAUUUACAGAACUUCCUUAUUGAUCUGCUGGUUCUUCCAGAUCAUAUUCUGGCUAUUGGUAUGGCUGGCCUUUCUGAAGGUACCCUGCUUGUCUAUUUUCCUGACUCAGCUCUUGCCUGCCUUUUUCACAUGUUGCUGCAAUUAGACUCACCGUGAGGACUACAGUCAAUUUCAGUCUAUCUUGUGCCCAAUACAACAAGGAUUUUUAAUAGUAACAACCCACACCUCACCCACUAGGACUCAAUGUUCACAACAGGAAGGACCAUUGCUGCAUACUCCUUGACCAGCAACUUUUUUGAAGAUAUUUUUAAGUGCAGAGUAGGCCUCUAUUCCUGUAUGUAAUUGUUCAUUUUCAGCACCUGGAACCUCAUCUAUCGGGUCUGGAAGGAAUACAGCAGUUCGAAAGCCGCGUCCAUUUCUCUCCUUCAGUAGUGCAGAAAUGAGUCCGAUUCACCAGUACACACAGAACUGUACCAGUUCAACCUAGCAAAAGAAGAAAAGUUUCCACUGUACUUAAAAUUUACAGCUGACUCAAAUUGCCUCACAGAAUUAUUUGAUGUAGAAGGCUAGUUGUCUUACUUCAGAUCAGCAGGACAGUUGGGCUCUCAGACUCAUGACCACUGAGUUUGCUUGUGUUGAAACUGUGGUUUCAUCCAACAUAUGCUAUUGGACAUGAUUAUUAUUCCAUUCAAAUGGAUUACAGACUUCUUGAGGACAGGACAAACUUAUCUCUCAUGGUGUUUUUUUAGAAUACUUUUAUAACCAAGGAAGAAACCAUGCCAGCUGUUACCAUUCAACUUCUUAAGCAGAGAUUAAGCUUUUUCAUAUCUGUUCUUAUCCUGGACAUCAGUAGUUUUUAAUUGCCCAGCAUCCGUUCCAUCUUGUAACAACUCCCUGAUGUUUCUUAAAACCACCUCUUCCUAUUUUCAGUCUGUGGUUUGGACAGUCUGACCCAACCUUGAGCUUUGUGGGUGAACAUGUAAUUCAGACCUCAUCAAUCAGCAAAUCCAUCUGAACUGUGGAGGAGAAGCUCUCUUUACUGAGGGUGCUUUAGCUUUGUAGGAUGAAAACCUCAAACUAACAGGGCCUACCAUGUAGAGAAUGAAGCCAGUGCAGGGGAAAGCAGAGCCAAAAUAUGGAGAGACUUGAAUCCUGAUGACAGCGUUUGUGCCCCUGGAUCCAACCGUGCCUGAAGCUAGAAUAUCCCCUGGACUUUUCAGUUAUGUGAACCA